GGACUACAGGGGUAUCUAAUCCUGUUUGCUCCCCACGCUUUCGCGUCUUAGCGUCAGUAACCGUCCAGAUAGCCGCCUUCGCCACUGGUGUUCUUCCCAAUCUCUACGUAUUUCACCACUACACUGGGAAUUCCACUAUCCUCUCCGGUCCUCUAGUCAUCCAGUAUCAAGUGCAUUUCUUGAGUUGAGCUCAAGGCUUUCACACCUGACUUGAACAACCGCCUACACGCGCUUUACGCCCAGUAAUUCCGAACAACGCUAGCCCCCUUCGUCUUACCGCGGCUGCUGGCAC
rnacentral:rRNA from 1 species